rnacentral:rRNA from 1 species
UCGUGUCAGGAUGAACGCUGGCGGCGUGCUUAACACAUGCAAGUCGAACGGAGUUUAAGAAGGAAGCUUGCUUCAUUUAACUUAGUGGCGGACGGGUGAGUAACGCGUGAGGAACCUGCCCUUCAGUGGGGAACAACAACUAGAAAUGGUUGCUAAUACCGCAUAAUGUCGGAGAGCCGCAUGACCUUCCGACCAAAGGAUUUAUUCGCUGAAGGAUGGCCUCGCGUCCGAUUAGGUAGUUGGUGAGGUAACGGCCCACCAAGCCUACGAUCGGUAGCCGAACUGAGAGGUUGAUCGGCCACAUUGGGACUGAGACACGGCCCAGACUCCUACGGGAGGCAGCAGUGGGGAAUAUUGGGCAAUGGGCGAAAGCCCUGACCCAGCAACGCCGCGUGAAGGAUGACGGUCUUCGGAUUGUAAACUUCUUUAAUUGGGGAAGAACAAAAUGACCUACCCAAAGAAUAAGUCACGGCUAACUACGUGCCAGCAGCGGC